rnacentral:rRNA from 1 species
GAUGAACGCUGACAGAAUGCUUAACACAUGCAAGUCUUUGGCGAAGCUGUGCUUGCACAGCCUAGCCAAGGCGGACGGGUGAGUAACGCGUAAGGAACUUGCCCUGCAGUCAGGGAUAACAGACGGAAACGACUGAUAAAACCUGAUAAAGUCAGACGGACUCAUGUCCAGUCUGAUGAAAAGAAAUGCUGCAGGAGAGCCUUGCGUCCUAUUAGCUUGUUGGUGGGGUAACGGCCCACCAAGGCGAUGAUAGGUAGCCGGCCUGAGAGGGUGGACGGCCACAAGGGGACUGAGAUACGGCCCUUACUCCUACGGGAGGCAGCAGUGGGGAAUAUUGGACAAUGGGGGCAACCCUGAUCCAGCAAUUCUGUGUGCACGAUGAAGGUUUUCGGAUUGUAAAGUGCUUUCAGCAGGGAAGAAAAAAAUGACGGUACCUGCAGAAGAAGCGACGGCUAAAUACGUGCCAGCAGCCGCGGUAAUACGUAUGUCGCAAGCGUUAUCCGGAAUUAUUGGGCAUAAAGGGCAUCUAGGCGGCCAGAUAAGUCUGGGGUGAAAACUUGCGGCUCAACCGCAAGCCUGCCCUGGAAACUAUGUGGCUAGAGUACUGGAGAGGUGGACGGAACUGCACGAGUAGAGGUGAAAUUCGUAGAUAUGUGCAGGAAUGCCGAUGAUGAAGAUAGUUCACUGGACGGUAACUGACGCUGAAGUGCGAAAGCUAGGGGAGCAAACAGG